rnacentral:rRNA from 1 species
UACGUAGGGGGCAAGCGUUGUCCGGAAUCACUGGGCGUAAAGCGUGCGUAGGCGGUUUGUUAAGUCUGAAGUGAAAGCCCAGGGCUCAACUCUGGGACUGCUUUGGAAACUGGCAGACUUGAGUGCUGGAGAGGCAAGGGGAAUUCCACGUGUAGCGGUGAAAUGCGUAGAUAUGUGGAGGAAUACCAGUGGCGAAGGCGCCUUGCUGGACAGAUACUGACGCUGAGGCACGAAAGCGUGGGGAG